UUUGUUAAUUUGUCUUGAAGCACAUUGCAAUCAGUAUCAGUUUUACUUUCCAGUUGAACUGAAGUCGCAAAGUUUUUAGAUUCAACCUUCCGGUUUUUUUGAGUUUGUUUUUUCUACAUCCACACAUUUUUUUGUAUUUUCGAAAAAAUGUUUUUGUGUUGUUGUCGUGAAAGUAAAUCAAUCGAUUUACAGUCUGUCCCAUCGGCGACUUCAAAAAAAUCAAAUACAAUUAUAUCAUCUCAACCGCCCCGCAGUGAACUACCAACAAUUGACAACAGCAAUGAGCGGCAAAUUUCAUAACCAUGCAAAUAAUAUAAUAUUGUUUAAUCUUAAGUAAUAAUUGUACUUUAAGUAAAUAAGCACGAAAUAUUUUUUUUAGUUUGAAAUAAAAAAAACCAGAGUUGUUUUUUUAAUAA